rnacentral:rRNA from 1 species
AGUCUUAGUUCGGAUUGUAGGCUGCAACUCGCCUACAUGAAGUCGGAAUUGCUAGUAAUCGCGGAUCAGCAUGCCGCGGUGAAUACGUUCCCGGGCCUUGUACACACCGCCCGUCACACCAUGGGAGUCGGUAACACCCGAAGCCUGUAGUCUAACCGCAAGGGGGACGCAGUCAAGGUGGGAUUGAUGACUGGGGUGAAGUCGUAACAAGGUACC